ACCGAUAGCGAACAAGUACAGUGAUGGAAAGAUGAAAAGAACUUUGAAAAGAGAGUGAAAAAGUACGUGAAAUUGUUGAAAGGGAAGGGCAUUUGAUCAGACAUGGUGUUUUGUGCCCUCUGCUCCUUGUGGGUAGGGGAAUCUCGCAUUUCACUGGGCCAGCAUCAGUUUUGGUGGCAGGAUAAAUCCAUAGGAAUGUAGCUUGCCUCGGUAAGUAUUAUAGCCUGUGGGAAUACUGCNAGCUGGGACUGAGGACUGCGACGUAAGUCAAGGAUGCUGGCAUAAUGG
rnacentral:rRNA from 1 species